UUGAUUUCCCAAACUCCUCAGAUGUCUGGUAGACCUUUCCGUCGUGUUUUGGUCUCCAGGAUGAUUCUCCUUUUUCAAAUUUCUGGAAUUUUUUCUUUGGUGCUUCAUAUGCUUUUUUAUUGCUUAUGGCACCUCUCUCUUUUUCUUUUUCUUUCUCAUACUCUUCAGAAUUUAUGUAUUUCUGGGCCUUUGUUAGCAGGUCCUCCAUGCAUGUUACAUUACUGACGUUUAGCUUUAUUGCUAAUGGCGUGUUCAUG
rnacentral:lncRNA from 1 species